rnacentral:rRNA from 1 species
GACGAACGCUGGCGGCGUGCUUAACACAUGCAAGUCGAACGGAAAGGCCCUGCUUUUGUGGGGUGCUCGAGUGGCGAACGGGUGAGUAACACGUGAGUAACCUGCCCUUGACUUUGGGAUAACUUCAGUAAACUGGGGCUAAUACCGGAUAGGAGCUCCUGCUGCAUGGUGGUGGUUGGAAAGUUUCGGCGGUUGGGGAUGGACUCGCGGCUUAUCAGCUUGUUGGUGGGGUAGUGGCUUACCAAGGCUUUGACGGGUAGCCGGCCUGAGAGGGUGACCGGCCACAUUGGGACUGAGAUACGGCACAGACUCCUACGGGAGGCAGCAGUGGGGAAUAUUGCACAAUGGGCGGAAGCCUGAUGCAGCAACGCCGCGUGCGGGAUGACGGCCUUCGGGUUGUAAACCGCUUUCGCCUGUGACGAAGCGUGAGUGACGGUAAUGGGUAAAGAAGCACCGGCUAACUACGUG